UGGGGAAUAUUGCACAAUGGGGGAAACCCUGAUGCAGCGACGCCGAGUGAACGAAGAAGGUAUUCGUAUCGUAAAGUUCUGUCCUAUGGGAAGAUAAUGACAGUACCAUAGAAGAAAGCUCCGGCUAAAUACGUGCCAGCAGCCGCGGUAAUACGUAUGGAGCGAGCGUUGUCCGGAAUUAUUGGGCGUAAAGGGUACGCAGGCGGUUUAAUAAGUCGAAUGUUAAAGAUCGGGGCUCAACCCCGUAAAGCAUUGGAAACUGAUAAACUUGAGUAGUGGAGAGGAAAGUGGAAUUCCUAGUGUAGUGGUGAAAUACGUAGAUAUUAGGAGGAAUACCAGUAGCGAAGGCGACUUUCUGGACACAAACUGACGCUGAGGUACGAAAGCGUGGGGAGCAAACAGG
rnacentral:rRNA from 1 species